CUUCACCUCCUUCUCUCUCUAAGUUUCAAAUUUUGAAAACUCUCUCACUUCUCUCUAAGAUUUCUUCACCUAAAUCUCUCUAAACCACCAAACUUCCUGCACAAAGAUUGUUCCCCUCACUCUCCUCUUCACAACCAUACCAUUUUCAUGGUGUGAAUCAAAAAUUUCGUGUCCCUUAUCAUCCCAAACAGCCAUGGUUUUGUGGAGAGCAAAGGCUAUGGAGUUGUGUUCUUGAGCUCUCUUGAAGAAUCACACUUGCUUGCUUGUUUCCUUUGAUUUUUGGGUGUGUGCUUGCCUAAAGGUGUGUUCUUGGUGGAAAAAGGUGGAGACUUGAGCUAAAGGAGAAACCUUGAAGAUGUGUGCCUAGAGAACCGUGCACUUGAGGAUUUUGUUGGAGCAUAUGUAUUAUAUUGGAGUGUGGGCUUGUGCUAAGCUCCCUAAGGUACCCAGAGUAGUAGUGAUGCUUCUAGGGGCAAGGCCCCCGCAUUGGAGUAGUUGAUGAUGCAGCUGAUGAUUUUAUAUUAUGUUUAGAUUUGAUGUUGGCAUGUAGACUUGUUAACAUGCUUAAUUAUUUUAUGGAGAUUAUUGUAUGUAUUUAUUUAGGCUCAUGAUAGUAUUCUUAGAGCCAUGGAUUAUUUACUUAUACUUUUAUACUUCGAAUUAAUAUAGACUUGAUGCAUGUAUUCAGUUAAUUUGGGCAUGGAGACUUAUUAGUUGUAUUGACCCAUUAAGGGGAUUGCAGUCCGUGUGGGACUUGCAA